CUAACACAUGCAAGUCGACGUGAAAGCCAAGCUUGCUUGGUGGAUCAGUGGCGAACGGGUGAGUAACACGUGAGCAACCUGCCCUGGACUCUGGGAUAAGCGCUGGAAACGGUGUCUAAUACUGGAUAUGAGCUCUCAUCGCAUGGUGGGGGUUGGAAAGAUUUUUCGGUCUGGGAUGGGCUCGCGGCCUAUCAGCUUGUUGGUGAGGUAAUGGCUCACCAAGGCGUCGACGGGUAGCCGGCCUGAGAGGGUGACCGGCCACACUGGGACUGAGACACGGCCCAGACUCCUACGGGAGGCAGCAGUGGGGAAUAUUGCACAAUGGGCGGAAGCCUGAUGCAGCAACGCCGCGUGAGGGAUGACGGCCUUCGGGUUGUAAACCUCUUUUAGCAGGGAAGAAGCGAGAGUGACGGUACCUGCAGAAAAAGCGCCGGCUAACUACGUGCCAGCAGCCGCGGUAAUACGUAGGGCGCAAGCGUUAUCCGGAAUUAUUGGGCGUAAAGAGCUCGUAGGCGGUUUGUCGCGUCUGCUGUGAAAUCCCGAGGCUCAACCUCGGGCCUGCAGUGGGUACGGGCAGACUAGAGUGCGGUAGGGGAGAUUGGAAUUCCUGGUGUAGCGGUGGAAUGCGCAGAUAUCAGGAGGAACACCGAUGGCGAAGGCAGAUCUCUGGGCCGUAACUGACGCUGAGGAGCGAAAGGGUGGGGAGCAAACAGGCUUAGAUACCCUGGUAGUCCACCCCGUAAACGUUGGGAACUAGUUGUGGGGACCAUUCCACGGUUUCCGUGACGCAGCUAACGCAUUAAGUUCCCCGCCUGGGGAGUACGGCCGCAAGGCUAAAACUCAAAGGAAUUGACGGGGACCCGCACAAGCGGCGGAGCAUGCGGAUUAAUUCGAUGCAACGCGAAGAACCUUACCAAGGCUUGACAUACACCAGAACACCGUAGAAAUACGGGACUCUUUGGACACUGGUGAACAGGUGGUGCAUGGUUGUCGUCAGCUCGUGUCGUGAGAUGUUGGGUUAAGUCCCGCAACGAGCGCAACCCUCGUUCUAUGUUGCCAGCACGUAAUGGUGGGAACUCAUGGGAUACUGCCGGGGUCAACUCGGAGGAAGGUGGGGAUGACGUCAAAUCAUCAUGCCCCUUAUGUCUUGGGCUUCACGCAUGCUACAAUGGCCGGUACAAAGGGCUGCAAUACCGUGAGGUGGAGCGAAUCCCAAAAAGCCGGUCCCAGUUCGGAUUGAGGUCUGCAACUCGACCUCAUGAAGUCGGAGUCGCUAGUAAUCGCAGAUCAGCAACGCUGCGGUGAAUACGUUCCCGGGUCUUGUACACACCGCCCGUCAAGUCAUGAAAGUCGGUAACACCUGAAGCCGGUGGCCCAACCCUUGUGGAGGGAGCCGUCGAAGGUGGGAUCGGUAAUUAGG
rnacentral:rRNA from 1 species